AGCGAACGCUGGCGGCAGGCCUAACACAUGCAAGUCGAACGGAUCCUUCGGGAUUAGUGGCGGACGGGUGAGUAACACGUGGGCACGUGCCCUUUGGUUCGGAACAACUCAGGGAAACUUGAGCUAAUACCGGAUGUGCUCUUCGGGGGAAAGAUUUAUCGCCAUUGGAGCGGCCCGCGUCUGAUUAGCUAGUUGGUGAGGUAAAGGCUCACCAAGGCGACGAUCAGUAGCUGGUCUGAGAGGAUGGUCAGCCACAUUGGGACUGAGACACGGCCCAAACUCCUACGGGAGGCAGCAGUGGGGAAUCUUGCGCAAUGGGCGAAAGCCUGACGCAGCCAUGCCGCGUGAAUGAUGAAGGUCUUAGGAUUGUAAAAUUCUUUCACCGGGGACGAUAAUGACGGUACCCGGAGAAGAAGCCCCGGCUAACUUCGUGCCAGCAGCCGCCGCCGUAA
rnacentral:rRNA from 1 species